AUUGAACGCUGGCGGCAUGCCUUACACAUGCAAGUCGAACGGCAGCACGGACUUCGGUCUGGUGGCGAGUGGCGAACGGGUGAGUAAUGCAUCGGAACGUACCCGGUAGUGGGGGAUAACUACCCGAAAGGGUGGCUAAUACCGCAUAUACUGUGCGCAGGAAAGCAGGGGACCUUCGGGCCUUGUGCUACCGGAGCGGCCGAUGUCAGAUUAGGUAGUUGGUGGGGUAACGGCCUACCAAGCCUGCGAUCUGUAGCGGGUCUGAGAGGAUGAUCCGCCACACUGGGACUGAGACACGGCCCAGACUCCUACGGGAGGCAGCAGUGGGGAAUUUUGGACAAUGGGCGCAAGCCUGAUCCAGCCAUGCCGCGUGAGUGAAGAAGGCCUUCGGGUUGUAAAGCUCUUUCGGACGGAAGGAAAUCGCGCAGGCUAAUACCCUGUGCGGAUGACGGUACCGUCAUAAGAAGCACCGGCUAACUACGUGCCAGCCGCCGCAGUAA
rnacentral:rRNA from 1 species